AGUGAACGCUGGCGGUAGGCCUAACACAUGCAAGUCGAACGGCAGCACAGUAAGAGCUUGCUCUUACGGGUGGCGAGUGGCGGACGGGUGAGGAAUACAUCGGAAUCUACUUUUUCGUGGGGGAUAACGUAGGGAAACUUACGCUAAUACCGCAUACGACCUACGGGUGAAAGCAGGGGAUCUUCGGACCUUGCGCGAUUGAAUGAGCCGAUGUCGGAUUAGCUAGUUGGCGGGGUAAAGGCCCACCAAGGCGACGAUCCGUAGCUGGUCUGAGAGGAUGAUCAGCCACACUGGAGCUGAGACACGGUCCAGACUCCUACGGGAGGCAGCAGUGGGGAAUAUUGGACAAUGGGCGCAAGCCUGAUACAGCCAUACCGCGUGGGUGAAGAAGGCCUUCGGGUUGUAAAGCCCUUUUGUUGGGAAAGAAAAGCAGCAGGUUAAUACCCCGCUGUUCCGACGGUACCCAAAGAAUAAGCACCGGCUAACUUCGUG
rnacentral:rRNA from 1 species